rnacentral:rRNA from 1 species
GAUGAACGCUGGCGGCGUGCCUAAUACAUGCAAGUCGAGCGAACAGACGAGGAUCUUGCUCCUCUGACGUUAGCGGCGGACGGGUGAGUAACACGUGGAUAACCUACCUAUAAGACUGGGAUAACUUCGGGAAACCGGAUCUAAUACCGGAUAAUAUGUUGAACCGCAUGGUUCAUUAGUGAAAGACGGUUUUGCUGUCACUUAUAGAUGGUUCCGCGCCGCAUUAGCUAGUUGGUAAGGUAACGGCUUACCAAGGCAACGAUGCGUAGCCGACCUGAGAGGGUGAUCGGCCACACUGGAACUGAGACACGGUCCAGACUCCUACGGGAGGCAGCAGUAGGGAAUCUUCCGCAAUGGGCGAAAGCUUGACGGAGCAACGCCGCGUGAGUGAUGAAGGUCUUCGGAUCGUAAAACUCUGUUAUUAGGGAAGAACAAAUGUGUAAGUAACUAUGCACGUCUUGACGGUACCUAAUCAGAAAGCCACGGCUAACUACGUG